rnacentral:lncRNA from 1 species
AGGGGACCGAGUCUUUCAGAAACCCUUGGGUCAUUGAUCUUCGAGCAUAUGUGAAGGGGAUUCUCUCGACGUUGCUUUAGGAAGUCUCGGCAGUCAUGAUAAAUGGCUUUUGAUCCUUCCAACCCUUCUGCAAGGAGGUGUCUUCCUCCACUUCUCCUGCUUCGGGUCAAAGCAGCUGGGUUGAGAGAAGUCUCACGUUGAUCAAUGUUUUAAUGAUUAGCUCGCUCCUCAUCAAGGAUACCCAUGUCGAAGGA